rnacentral:tRNA from 1 species
GGGGCGUUAGCUCAGCUGGUAGAGCGCUUCCAUGGCAUGGAAGAGGUCAGGAGUUCGACUCUCCUACGCUCCACCA